rnacentral:tRNA from 2 species
GUGGGCGUAGCUCAGUUGGUAGAGCCCUGGAUUGUGAUUCCGGUUGUCGUGGGUUCGAGUCCCAUCGUUCACCCCA